rnacentral:lncRNA from 1 species
CAAAACCUAGAAAAAUAGAACUUAAGGUCUAACUCAUGUAUAAACAUAAGCAUACGCAUAUUAUAGACUAAAUCUUAUUUACAAAGCAAUCAAAUCUGUCAGUAACACAAAAUAUUCAACCGCCAAGAACUCGACCGAGUACGCUAAGAGCAGAGCAACCUCAAGAAUUCAAAGAACUUGAAGGCAACAUGGUUUAUAAUGAAGCUGUCAAACUUCCCAUGCGGGAAGGUAACAUGGCUCACACAAAUAUGAUCCUUCCUUUGAGUAAGUUGGCAUGGACUGAUCAUUGGAGACCUUACUCUUCAAAAUCUCAAGAAUCACAAAGAAGUUGAAGGUAACAGGGCUUAUAAUGAACCUGUCAAACUUCCCAGUGGGAAGGUAACAUGGCUCACACAAAUACGAUCCUUCCUUGGAGUAAGUUGGCAUGGACUGAUCUUUUGAGACCUUACUCUUCACAUAGUUGUCGUACCUCGUUUACUCUUGCUCAGUGGCUUGAGGAGCUGAGAGUAAGGACCUUAAUAUGGUUUCAACAGCAUGGCAAUUAAAUUGUUUAGACAGCAUCUCAUAAUUCCAUAAGCGGGUGAUGGACAGGAUCCGGUUUGAAUAAAAAUCCAUACGAGCUGAUGUAAAUCAAAGUGAUUGGAACAAAUUAAUUUUCUUGUGCUAAGGCAAACGGCUCAGCGAUGGCUUAAUGACAGCAAGAACAAAACAAAGAAUCCCUCCCUAUAGUCAGCGCUAUAAUUUGCUACUAAGGCUCCGUUUGGUAAUGCUUAAAAUCCAAGUUUUUUUUAAACUUGCUACUAAAAAGGUCAAAAUUUUUUGACUUUUUUGCUUUUGUGGCUUUACUUUACCUAAAACUAAGCAAAAAAACAAAAGCAAAAAAGCUAGAAAAAAAACUAAAAAAAGCUGGUGCCAAAUGGAGCCUAAAGCUCGCUAACUUGAAUUAGCAAAAAAAUAUGAAUCCCUCCUCAGCUAUGCCCUUGCCAAGAUAAUAUCUAAUAAUGGUUUAGCUGGCUAUGUUCUCCGGAAGAAUUGUCAUCUUAUAACCCGAAGAAUAAUGAAGAAUUGUCAUCUUAUAGUCCGAAGAAUAAUUGUAAGGUCUCCCAUUCUACAAUAAAAAACAAAGUCACUCAUCCUUCGUUAUAAAUGAGAACAAUACUCGUCCAAUCGUAAUAAGAGAUAACUUUCCCAGGUCAAAGGGCCAAGAAUUGCCUUAAAAUAUUUGUUAAUAAUAGUGGGUGUCGUGAGUAAUUAGGUGUGUGUUGAGUAAUUAGAGGGUUUGCAUAUGUAAUUUGGGUUCUCUCUCAUAUAGGUGUAUUAGGCUUAAGUUGAUAACUCUAAUCUUACUUUUUCCUAAUCUUCAAAGUUUACUGGCCCUUUAUUGAUGGAAUAAAUGAACCAAAUAACAUCUUUACUGGCCUUAUUCAGUCGGCCACUUAAAAAGUGUGUAUCUACAAAAAGGUCAGCCCUGGACGAGAAUGUCAAGAAAUUUGUUCUCCUUACUUGCAUCUACAGGAGCCUAUUGAAUGUUUGUCUUGCAAAUAUAGACAUAUGGUCCUUCCUAGCUAACAUCAGCAUGAACUCGACAUAGUUGUGUAGUACCUAAGCUUACUUGGACUCGCCAAGUGUGAAUAAGGACCAAAAGAUGAAUCCUUUAGUUAGACUGAAAUUGGGAAAACUUGGUUCGAUCUAGCCUUUGAGCUACUUUGGCUGCUUGGCAAUGUGACAUAUUGGACACAUGGUAAUGCCAUCAAACACAGAUCUUAGCCACAUAAAAAAACUCAAGGGUUUUACACAGAGCGCAAACAUUCAUCUGUUAACAAAAAAAAAUGGAUAAAAUUAUCAGAACAAAUUGAGGUAAUAGAAACCAAGUCAAAUGAUUCCCACAACUUUACCAAAGAAAACAAAGCACGAAAUAAAAGUUGGGACAAGAAAUUUACAAAAAGGAAAAGUUACCGCAAAGAAAGAUUCCUCUCAACAGUUCAAAUCAAAUUCAAAACAGAGAUGAAAGCAUAGUAGAAUUUGAACUGAACAAAAAAAAACUAAAAAAAAGAACUUCAAUGGGUUUUACAGAGAACACCAACAUUUCAUCUGUAAAUAACAAAAACAAUUGAUAAAAUUCUCGGCAUAAAUUGAAUAAAUAGUAAUGGAAUGAAACGAUUCAAAGAACGCAAAAAGAUUUUUUUUUUUUUUUAAAUAAAGGUUGCCGCAAUGAAAGAUUCAUCUCAACGUUCAAAUCAAAUUCAGAACAGAGAAUAAAAGCAUGGUAAAAUUUGAACUGAACCACAAAAAAAUUAAGAAAUAAAAUAAAAAAACGUGGAAAUUCAAAUGGGUUUUACAGAAAACACAAACAUUCCUAUGUAAUUAACAAAAAAUAAUUGAUUCAAUCAUCAGAACAGAUUGAAUAACCAAAAUCAAACGAUCCAUUGAACCCAACAAGUAAUUCUCAAAGAAUAAAGAAAGAUUCCUCUCCGUGGUUCACAGAAAACUCAAACCAAAGAAGAAAAGUAGAUUAUAAAUUGAAAUUAAACACAAAAACAAAAACAAAAACAAAAACAAAAACAAAAACAAAAACAAAAAACAUCAAAACCCAAUUGGGUUUUACAGAGAAGAAGCGUAAACAAAAACAAUGGACAAAAUGAAUAGCACAGAUUGGAUCAAACAAAGCAAAAACAUAUGAAUAGAAAGGAAAGGAAAAAGAUUGUGGUUGAAGAAGAAUGAGAACCCUAACCUUUGGACUGGGUUUGAAACUGUGCACGUAUCUUUUAUGGAGAAAGAGAUACUCAUUUUACGAAUCUGAAAUUCCAAAA